rnacentral:lncRNA from 1 species
GCAUAAAAGGAACCAGCCUAGCCUCCAGUGGAAGGGAGUUCCACAGUCUGAGAGAAAGGAAAAUGCCCUCUCCCAUAAAAAGGCCCUCUCUCGUGGCCUCAUCAAGCGUGCAUCCAUAAUGGCGGCAGGAUAGAAAGAAAGGGUCCCCCAAAAGUAACAGCCGAGGAGGCCCAUUGGUAUUAAUGGGUCCGUUGGUCAUAUCCACUGAGUUCAAUGAGUCUACUCUGAGUAGGACACAUCCCAUUUAUUUCAGGAGAGUUUUUUUGUUUUUACUUCUAUGAUGGAUCGCAAAUUCCUCUGGCACCAACGAGACUUUGCCCCCGCUUCCUGUGUCGCUAUUCCUCCCCUGUGGUUCAAUCUACUUCAGUCAGAUUAGACGGGACUCUGGGGGCUGACGGUUAAGGGGCUCCUGGCGAAAAAGCUCCUGUGGCUCCAGCUGCUCCACUCGGAGCUGGGACUGGUUCUCCCGGGACAGGAGCUGUGAGGGGUUUUUUUGUGUGGGCAGGCAGAACAGAUGGGAAAGAGCCUCGAGGGAAGCCCCAAUGAACGGGCUGCUUAGCAGCACCUUCUGGUCUUCAGGAAAGGCAAGGGCACAACAUGGCUGAGAAGAAGGAGGCGCCUCCAAGACCAGACCUCACGAGUUGCCUCCGAGGCCUUUCCAAACGCGUUUCCAAACGUUUUGGGGUCUCCGGGAGUAAUCAGCCUGCCACGAGGCAGGAGUCGAAAUCAAAACAUCCCUCGCUUAAUUCAAACUCCGUGACGGAGUUUGCUCCCAUGUGAGAGAUUGCCAAGGAGUGCAGUUUGAAUCUGGCCCGUUCGCCAGAUCGAGAGAUUUAUCAGAUCCCCAUUAAAAUAGAGAAAUGAUUAGAGAGGAAAUUAUUUCUAUGGGGAACUGGGCUUGGCGCUGUUCAGUCAUUCCUCUGGAUAAAAGUGCGUUGGAAAAACUUUCCAAGGUCUGUAUAUAAACUUGCCAGUAAACGUCUUCCAUCGGAAUGUGCGAUCCGGUUCCUCUGUUUUAAUAGGAGACUGGGGAGCAAAUAAAGACUUUAUGUGCACGUGACAAGGGUUCUUUCUUGGUAAAGUAAGUCAGACACCCUUCCACUUCCUAAGUAAGGUGUUGAAAUCCAAGUAGAAGGUUUAAUAUUAUCAGUGGAUAAUUAAAAGUGUCGUCUCCUUUAGGUUGGAUUCCUGUUAUUAUUAUUAUUAUUAUUAAAAUUUAUAUACCGCCCUUCAAAAAAAAUAAAAAGAUCUCAGGGCGGUUCACAAAAUAAAAUACAAGAUGAAACACAAGUAAAUAAUUAAACCCAAACAAGAAAACAUAAACCCCAACCAGUUGCCCGCGAUCUACAUAUAAUGUCAAGUACAUUCAACAUUGAACUGUAUGCAGGUUGUUGUUGUUUUUUUUUAAAAGGAAGCAUCCUUUGCUCUGAAUCAGGGCAACUCUUUACGUGUUUGUCCAGAGGUGUCCCAUUGACUUCAGCAGAACUUGACUCUCGAGUCGACGUGCAUUCGAUGGCAGCCUCCGACCGCUCUUAGUUGUGGCAUCUAGAAUCGAGGAAGCGUCAGCUCACUUCCUUCUGUUCCCCUUCUGCGUUGUGUGAAUCUGGCUGAUACACGGGCGCAGGGCGAUCGCCGACGUUACUCCUGCUCAGAGGAGGCCCACUGAAAUCAAUGGACUCGAAUGAUACCCGAUGUACGAGAAGUCAGUAAGAAAUAAAGCCGGCCAUCUGCCAAUCUCAUUUUAUGGAGUGCUUCGAAGCUGCUUCCUCCCAGGUCGGUUUGUGUACCUUGCCAACUGCUUCUGUUUAUAUAGUCCUUGUCUUGCCUUCUGCCAUGACCUGUUAGGUUUGCAUUUGGGGGAAAAGAAAAGAAAGAAAAAACCUCCGACUUUUAUUGUUUGGCAAACCUGCUCUGAAACGGUAACAAACCUAGCAAGGUCAGCCGGAGAAAUAGACAGGAGAAGAAGUGUCAUGGAAAGUCCAGCUGGUUUGAUAUAGGAGUGAAGUCCACUGGUUUCAGUUUCCCUACUCUGAGUAUGCCUAAGGUCGGCUAGCACCCCCCACAAGGCAGAAGAGAAGAGAAAGAAAAGCCUGGGGCUUCUGUCUUUAGCAACGAAAACAGUAAGGAACAGUCCUUCACUCCAGCGUCCAGUAGGUAGGUUGAUAAGCACCCUACUAAACUGAGCGGGUCUUAUUUCCCAGUAACCCGGCGUAGGUUUGGGCUGUGGAUCCCAUUGAUUUCAACGAGAGGGAUUCCUUAGGGCUGAAGGGCAAUAUAUCAGUUGCCCAAAGUAAUAACCAAUAAAUGCAUUAUAUAUUGUCUUACCCAGUUAAGGCAAAACCAUAGAUCAUCAUCAUCAUCAUUGAAUUGAAAUCAGAAAUACACACUAGUUUCUCAGUUGAUGUAUAUAUUGGAGCUGGGCCGGCUUAAUCUGGUGAAGCCACCAGCCAAUUAAGGCGACGAUCCAGUGCACAUGGAAUACAGGGAUUUACUUCCGAGUAAACACAUGCAUGAGGUGAAUGUUCCACUUGUGCCAACAGGUUUAACUGAAACAAAGAAGAGUCCUGUGGAUCCUUAGUGUUUAAGGACUUUAAGGGCACACAUUUAUUAUGGCAUAAACUUCUCUGGAGUCUGGACUACAGUCCACUUAAUCCGAUGCUUGAUUUGGCAGUGGGUUUAAAUUUAACUGCUCUGCGUUGUUGCGGAAUCACUAUUAUAACUCCCCACAAGUACAAGAAAUUGUACUGUGCGUUUUUUUUUAAAGACAUUAAUAUUCAUACGGAGUAAGUUGUUGGAGCUUCCCAACCUUAAGCGAACUGUUUAGUAAAAUACCCAACUCGCCUUAGAUAGAGUUUAAAGCGCACGCUGACAAUUAGCACUUUAAAUCUCUAGCAUCAUCCAAACCAAGUAAAGCGAGCAACUGAAUUAUUUUUUCUGCUUUUCAAAAAAAUAACUAUUAUUUAGGCAAAGAAGAAACAUCAACAUUAGGAUUCGAGGUUCCUGUUGAAGUCGGAAGAACAUCCCAUUAGUAUUGCUUCCAGACUAAUCCACAACCCAAGCCUGCAAGGGCCUGGCUUAAACUCAAGGGCCUCGACUUUCCCGCUGCACGAAAUGGAAUUUACGUAAGUAUCAGACUCCUAAAUUCACCCGCAGCAUCAGCAUUGCACGUACGAGCCGGCCUAGAUUUCUGCCUUAAGGUGGGAUCCACCUCUCUUAGAGGAAGCCCCUUUAACCAAUGGCAACGGAGGAACCGGGGGAAAUAUCGCUCGCUCUUGACCUCUGGCGGCAGAAGAACGUUCGGAGCUGGAAAGCGACUGAGCUGUCGCACCGAGGCAGCAUCUCUGCUUGCCCACCUGCCUGGGCGAGUGUCUGCUAGCUAAGCAUCGGUGGUAUUGGUGACCCAAACCCACUGGGUGUUGUUACCUCUAGGCUGCAGCAUCCGGCUUUGUUUCCUCUCCCCCCCCCCCCCGCAGCAACUGAUCUCCCCCAGCAACCCCCAUUAAGUCACCGGGCUGGGUUUAGCACAACGGCCUAAACUGCUUUCCUCCAGCGCCUGCUCAGCCCACCGACCCUUCCCAAAGGAGAGAAAGGAUGGAAGAUCUGAUCCGGGCCUGGAUUAAGACCUUUUGUAAACCACUUUGAGGUUUUCUGACAGUCAAGCAGGAUAUAAAAGUAGUGAGAUGGAUAAUGCAUUUCGGGGGGCGUAAAGACCUUUCCACAACCCAAGAACACAGAAAUUAAAUCCUGCGUUUAGUGGGACCUACCAACACUAGGAAACCGCGACUGAAUUAUCAGGGCAAUCUUAUACAUGCCUGUUCAAAAGUAAGCCCCUUAAUUCUAGAUGCAUUUACCCGGGAGUAAGCGCCAUCGAACUCGGCUGGACUUGAAUGGUAUCGCGCUGUUACUCUGGAACUGGCAGAACUGGACUGAGCAGUCCGUUUUGGACCUUAGGCAGCUGUGCUGACGGCGGGUGAUGGAAGCUAUGGGAGUUGUGGUCCCAAACAUCUGGAAGGCACCAGGCUGCCGAAAGCUGUUCUAUAAAAAUUACAUGGAUGGUGCAGAAGAGGGGCACAAACCACAGGGAAGUUCUCCUGCGAAUUAUCCAGUGAGAUCCAUUCUCUUGCGCAAUGCUCUCCUGUGUCCCUUUGGUUGGUUUAAUUGUCUGGUUUCUGAGACUGUUACUUGGUUGACUUGAGGAAAUCACCUGCAACUGUGUAACUCAAUGUGUGUUUACUCGGAAAUAAAUCCCAUUUAUGUAG